UGAAAAGCAAUAAGUAGAUAGAUCAAUAGAAAAAGUGUAGCUUGACGUUAGGCACAACAACGUGGUGGACACCUGGUGUGUGUGAUGUGAGAAAUCUGAAACCUGCUGGUCCUGGAUCAUUAGGGGGAGGAGAUGGGGGGGGGGGGGGAGUAUCUUGCAACAGGUCUCCAGUCAGUCCGAGACAGAGGCCAGAUAAGCAGCGCGAGGACAUGUUUGGUAUCCUGCAUCAUUUUAUUGCACCAAGAAGCGAUGUGCGACUCCACUGAGCGCCAUCAUGGGCAAAAGGGGCCACUUCGGUGUCAGCGCUCUCACGUAGCCGAGGACGCAACCUCUGGUUUCCAAAUGAGCAAGGACGGUGGUGAAGGACUCCACUGGGGCGCACAGUUGUGA